ensembl:lncRNA
UAUUGUGUAUAUAUUUGUUAUAUUAUUUUUUUACAGUCUAUGGUUAUAGCGCGAGUAAAUGAACAUGUUCGCGCGCAGACGUGUUUGGCUUCUCUUAACCAAUAAUUUUCCACGACCGGGGUACUGAGCCAAUCAGAAUUUAGCUAGGACCACUGCAUCUAUGGCCCCACCCCUGGCUCCGCCUAUGCUAAUCGGUACAGUGUUGCGGUCUGUGAAGGGCGGUAGAGUUAUUAACCAGCAGUUAUUAAUCACCCAUCAUAAUUCCAGACGAUGACUGAGGAACAACAACCAACAUUUAUCCAGUUAACUCCCACUAGUGUUGCAUUAUACUCCCUGGCUGUUCCAGACAAAAUCAUUCGGAGCUCGAGGCCAUACCGACGCCCACGUUUUGCUAAUUAAUAACGGCGGGCACGCGCUCCUUCAUUUAAAACAAUCCAUAUUCAUCAAACAUUAAAAACGAAGAAUCCUGUUCACCCCGCAGCCUUGUGACUGCUAUCCAGAUGGACUCAUUACAAUCAUCUCUCCACAGCUGCAAGGCCAGGCUUGUGCAGAUCAAAGGAAGGGCCUGAUGGAGAAUUGCCAUAUGACCAAUCGAUCCUGAGAUGACGGUGGCAGGAUGGUGUGUGUGUGUCGCUGUCAGGUUCUCCUGGGGAGAGUGCUAGUGAUGUUGAGUGUUGUGUGUCUGCAUCUGCACUGUGUGUGUGUAAUGAGAGGGAUAUCCUCUUGGAGACUCCUGUCUGGCAAGAGCUGGAAAGAGAUCAUCACCUUGUGGACCUGAUAUCAACAGAGAGAGACAGAGAGAGAGAGAGUGAAAAACAAGGAAAGAGAGAUGGUAAGUUAGAGCAUGGGAUCAGGGAAGCUGCUGUGAGAAUUGUUUAAUUUUUUUUUCUUUUUUUUUCUUUUUUCUUGGCAGUGGUGAUUCCAAAGCUUGACCAUAAAAUUACAGUGACCGUUUCAGGCAUUAUAGGGCUUUAUGGGUCAUUUUAGUGAAUGCUUAACGGGUUUAUACAGUGGCUUUUUAUAUUCUUCUCCUUUUAACAUUACUAACAUUUUAUACACUCCACUGCCUUUAAUCUACUAGAUUUCUUUUUCUCUAGAUGGUGAUUUUAAAUCUGUUUAGGGGUUUGUGCUGUUUAUAGCAUCAGAACAGGAAGUAAUAAUUUCCACCACAAGCCAUAACCAAUGCAACCCAAUGUACAAGCUGGAAAAUAUAGCAAUUUCAUAAAUGAGGAGAGCUGGCCCAUGCUCACAGAUAACCUGCUGCUUU